UACGUAGGGGGCAAGCGUUGUCCGGAUUUAUUGGGCGUAAAGCGCACGCAGGCGGUCUUUUAAGUUUUGAGUGACAGGUGGGGGCUUAACCCUCGCAGGCCUUGGAAAACUGGAAGACUUGAGGACGAGAGAGGGACGCGGAAUUCCAGGUGGAGCGGUGAAAUGCGUAGAGAUCUGGAAGAACACCAAAGGCGAAGGCAGCGUUCUGGCUCGUAACUGACGCUCAUGUGCGAAAGCCAGGGGAGCGAACGGG
rnacentral:rRNA from 1 species